UUCACACUCGGGUAUCUGUCUCACGCUUUUACUUCCGUACUGGUUCCGCUGGAAUUCAGAUCCUUGCGGUAAACCACUGAGAAACCGGUCCUGGAAUGCUGCACCUGACUUUCUGUUUGGAUGUACUAUCUGUCCGGUCAAUCUCCCUGUGCCCUUACACACACACACACACACACACACACACACACACACACAGUGUUUAUCUGUACUCUCUUUUAGCAUCAUUGUUGCUCCGAGAAGAGAACCACUGAUUACUUCAAGCACACUACGGAGUACAGGAAAACCAGAUAGCCCUGCACCCAUGUAUAGACCUGAUACGGUUAUUAUACCACUCAGGCGACUCAGCCUGGGGUCCAAGUGGUCCACAGCGGCGGGACUCAGAUGGUAAUCCAGCCCCUAGGCAGACAAUGGUGGUCGGCGGGGCACACACACCAUAAUCCAGCCUGCUGCUCCACCUACUAUGAUUAUCCAGCGGGCAAAUCCGACUGUUCGAGUCGUCCAGCCGCAGGUUCUGCCUACAGUGAUCCAGCGACCUGCAGCCAAUACCGUGG
ensembl:lncRNA